rnacentral:rRNA from 1 species
UACGUAGGGCGCAAGCGUUGUCCGGAAUUAUUGGGCGUAAAGAGCUCGUAGGCGGCUUGUCGCGUCGACUGUGAAAUCCCGCGGCUCAACUCCGGGCCUGCAUUCGAUACGGGCAGACUAGAGUUCGGUAGGGGAGACUGGAAUUCCUGGUGUAGCGGUGAAAUGCGCAGAUAUCAGGAGGAACACCGGUGGCGAAGGCGGGUCUCUGGGCCGAUACUGACGCUGAGGAGCGAAAGCGUGGGGAGCGAACAGG